UCCAACAUGGCGUCCGUACAGUUGAUUCCGCCUGUCUCCGACUUGUAUGAGAUGAUUGAGGCGUUCCUACAGGCCCCUGUGUAUCACUUGAUCUUUGAAGUUUGCCUGAUUGUACUGAUUAUCAAGCUAGUGUUCUCCAAGUCCUUCGCUGGUGCUCCUGAAACCAUCCUAACAAAGAAGGAGGAAGAAGGGCUGAUAGCAGAGUGGACACCAGACCCCCUAGAACAGGAUGUGCCCCCAGAUCACCCAGUGCUACAGUCUUUGGAGAAAAACCUUGUCACAGGACCACCAGGAAAAUAUGUCGAAAUCAACGGGAAAAAAUGUGUUAACAUGGCAACUCUGAACUUCCUGGGGAUGUCAUGUCGGCCGGAAAUAGUGGAUGCUGCAGUCAAGACUAUGAGAAAGUAUGGUGUUGGAUCUUGUGGUCCGAGAGGUUUCUAUGGAACAAUGGAUGUACAUCUCGACCUGGAGGAAAAGUUUGCCAAGUUUAUGGAUUGUGAGGAAAGCAUCCUGUACUCUUACGGUUUCGCCACCAUAGCCAGUGCCAUCCCAGCCUACUCCAAACGAGGGGAUGUCAUAUUUGUAGACGACGGAGUGUGUUUCGCCAUACAGAAAGGCCUGGUGGCAUCUCGUAGUGCCAUCAAGUGGUUCAAACACAACGACAUGGAGGACUUGGAGAGGCUGCUGAAGAUCCAACAGGAGGAGGACAAAAAGAUUCCCAAGAAAGCCAAAGUCACUCGGCGCUUUCUAGUGGUGGAGGGACUAUACAUGAACUAUGCUGACAUUUGUCCGCUCCCUCAACUGGUCGCACUGAAGUGGAAAUACAAGCUGCGACUGUUUAUGGAGGAAAGCCUAUCCUUUGGUGUCCUAGGGGCGAAUGGCAAAGGUGUCACAGAGUACUAUGAUAUUUCACGAGAUGAGGUAGACUUGAUUGCUGCAACACUUGAAAAUUCCAUGGGAACAUGUGGAGGCUUCUGCUGUGGGAAAAAAUAUGUAAUAGAUCACCAGCGUCUGUCUGGUAUGGGGUACUGUUUCUCUGCCUCCCUGCCUCCCAUGCUGGCCACAGUAGCUAUAGAGGCACUUCGCACUUUGGAAGAGGAUCCAUCUUUGCUAACCAAACUAAGUCACAACUGUCAGAGGGUUCAGGAGAAAUUAUCUAGAAUACCAGGAAUACAGGUACAUGGUGAUCCCGUCGCUCCGAUAAAACACGUAAGACUUGAGGAAUUAAACGAUGACCGAUCCAUUAACGUACAGACGCUGGAAAAGAUUGUAGACAAGGCCAGAGAUCUAAGUGUGGCUAUUACAGUGUCGAGGUAUCUGGAAAGUGACGAACAUAUCACACCGAGUCCAAGUAUAAGGCUGUCCGUCAAUGCUAGUCUUACAGACGAGGAGAUUGACAGAAGUGUUGAACUUAUAGGCAAGGCUUGUGCAGCAGUGCUCAACAGCUAUUCAUGAGAUGAUGAAGACCUUAUUAAGAUGUUGUGAUCUACUACAGAAUACUGACAAUUACUAACUGGAAACUGGGAACAACUGGUCAUAACAGAGCUUUAUAAAGCUUCUCUGUAGCUGGGAAUAACUGGUCAUAACAGAGCUUUAUGAAGCUUCUCUGUAGCUGGGAACACGUGGUCAACACAGAGCUUUAUAAAGCUACUCUGAAGCUGGGAACAACUGGUCAUAACAGAGCUUUAUAAAGCUUCUCUGUAGCUGGGAAACUGAGAAAUUUUGGGAAAUGACAAAGAUAUUGGCAUCUGGUGAAACAUUUGCAUGUCAUUAAUUUUGAAACGAAUUAUCAAAUAUUUGAAUUCAGUGCAUAAUGGCCGUAACUAUAUCGUCAUCAUCUUCAUCAAGGACAGAUGUUAAAGUUCACCACAAGAAAAAAGUGCUGCUGAUGUCAUGAUGCGCUUUUGAUUUUGGCACAGAGAUAGAUACACAGCUUACUUAAGGUUCAAUCGGAAUUUCAUUAUUUUUGAAAUUUACAGUGCUGUGUUGUUUACACUUGUGUGUUAUAUGAGCAUUGAGUUGUCCAGUUAAGAAUUCUUCAACAUUCAUCCUAACAUCAUUGUGACUGGUUUAUCAUUCAAUAUCAGAAAGUUGCUACGCUCCCAUCCUAGCAGCUGUGAAGAUUAGAUCAAGGAAGACGAUGGAGAAGUACCAACACCAAGGCAUGUGUGUUUUCACAUGGCGUAUAUUGUUUUUAUCAUGUCUACACCUCGGAUUGUGUAUUGUAUGUGUGGCAUUUAUUGUUUUUAUCAUGUUUCAACGUUAACUUAUUCACCCCUGAAGACUCAUUUGAACUCCUCCAAUUCAAAUGUUGGAAUAGUUCAUUAUGAAAUUUCAGGGGUGAAUGAUCUAAGGUAUGUGUAUUGUGACAGGGAGGUGUUUUUAUCUUCAAAUGGUAAGGCUAGGCUAACCGCCAGAAAAUUUACAUACAUUUUGUUUGUACCAGAGAAAAAGUAUACAUGUGUAUAAAAAAUGCCUUUGUAUGAAAAUUGCACGACUGGCUGAAGAGCCUAGAUAUAGAUCACAGAUCACUAGAAAGUAUAUGUAUUGUAUAUAUAAGUAAAAAUCAUCGUUACUGUAAACAAGAUCAAAAAUAUUAUUUUUGUACAAACGUGUUAAAUGAUUUAGUUUUCAUGUGGCAUGUGAUAUGUGAUAUGUGAUUAUUUUACCACUUCUUUUUACCAAAUAGUGUUUGUCCAAAGUUUUUGGAGAAAUCCAUUUUUGUUUCUUUCAAAUGUCUACAUUUAAGAUAGAAGUAGGCUUCUAGUUUUUAUAGGUUUAUAGAAUUUUGUAUUUCCUCUUUUCCUUAUUCUUGUAUAACUGUUCUGUAGCAAGGUAGAUAACUCUUCUUCUAAUAUUUUUUUUAUUGUAUGUCUUCCCUAAAAUACCAAAAGUUGAUCUCUGAUCUACAAAUCCAGUAGCUGAUAACUUAAUUCUCCCUGUAAAUCCUUUCUUUUUUGUAGGCAUCUAUUUUUGCAGAUCUUAAAAAAUAUAUGUUUAUUUUUGUUCAAAUUUUUUGAAUAAAUAGUUGAGAUACUUGAAUUCUUGAUGGAGUCUACUGUCGAAUUAAUGCAAAAAUUUGGAUCCAAUGUAACAUCAAUGGUUGCAGUAUCUGUCUUCACUAAGGACAAUAUGUGUUUUGCUUAAAAAGUAAUCCGAAAUAACGGACUCCUUUGAAAACAAAUUUGAUGGGGCAGAAACAUUUUUCAUCUGUCGGACAAAAUGUAUUUUUGGUUGAUACAUUUUGUUGCAUUAUAGUUUCGUGUUAACUUUUACUUCCUUGUCACUGUGGAUUGUUGUAUUUUGUGUUAAUGGUGAUACUGGGACACAAUACAUGAUCCUCUACACGCCUGCCCAUCAGUCAUGACAUACAGGCCAUGACCACAUCAGAUCUGAACAGGUUCUACUGUAUCAGACACCGUCACAUAAAACAGAGGUCUGUAAGAGAUUACACAUCAUAAAUCUGCAGUAAAACCUCGCUAUACUGCCAUCAUUUGUCCAGAAAAAUGUCGGCAUUUUAAAGGGGUUUGGUGAUAUAUUAAAAGAAGUAUAUAAAGGAAUUCUUAAGAAAACGAGAAAAAGGGACCUUGAAAUAUGUUGGUGGUAUGUGAGGUGGUAAGUGAAAGGAGGGGCAUUAUAUCAAGGUUUUACUGUAGUUUAUGGUUAAUACUGUAUAUCACUGUGGGUUGACUGAUGUAAGAAUAUCUAAUAUAUAUUUCUGUUGUGACAGGUUCAAAAAUAUGGUAUCUAUGCAUGUUUUUUUACACAUUUUCAUGUGACCAUAUGUAAAACAAAGGUGAUAUAUGUAUAUGUUUAAGAAACUAUUCUUAAUGUGAAGUUUUAUAUUUGUCCAUAAGUUAAGUUGAAUUCGAGUAAACUACCAUCUUUAAUUCCUGUU
rnacentral:misc_RNA from 1 species